GACUGAGCUGCGCGGGUGGCGCUUAGGCGGCAGCGGAGUUCUGGGGCCUGGGCACCUGCGGGACGCUUUUCUUCUCAGCAUGUGGCCCUAGGCACGCGCGAAGGGAGAUCUGGGGAAAUGUGUCAAGGGCUGGGGCGGCGGGCAGCGUGCCUCCUCCGCAGGACCCCAUCGACGUCGCCGGCCUGGCCGUGCGCGACUCCUCGACGGCUCCGCGGGGCUUUGCUUCCCGGGCCGCCCAGGCCCUCGGCUCUGCCCCGGAGCCAGGGGCAGUGUGUCGUGCAGUGGCGGGGAGCCGAGAAUUUAUACCAGGCGGGAAAUUGCACACUCGUGUGCCACGUCGAGCGUGCCACGUCACGGGCGACCCCGCCCCACUGGUCACGCGAUCUGAGACUUGCAGCCGGCCGGUCUUGCCUGCCUAGCUGCACCCCUUUGAUCUCUGGAGACAUGGCCCUGAUCACUCGAGUGGGCGCCCAGCUUCAGCCUGGCCCCAGCUCCAGCCCUGUGGUGCCUGGGGCAGCAACAGUGGGGCGCCCCCCAUACCACACAACUUUGUUUGCUGUUGGGGACCUGUUCCCUGGUCGCAGGGGUGGCCCCCCAGCCUCAGCCUCAUCCUGGCCACAGUUCUAGCCCUUAGGUGCCUGGGACAGAAGUGGGGGGGGGCACUACCACACAACUUCGUUGACUCUUGGUGACCUGUACUGCCACCCAACAGGAAACCCACAAGAACGGGACAAGCACAGACUCCUAGGCCUUGCGCUGGUGGGAAAUGGGGAACUUGAACCGUGCCAGGCCUGGGCGUGGACAUUCCUGUAAUGAUGACACACGGUCCACACCCUCCAGCCGCCAUCUCGGCUUCUAACACUGCAGCCGAGGGCCUCGGACUUCCUGCAGCUGGCCUUGAAGACGGCAGUUGGUGAUCAGGACGGGAAUGGGGUGCUCCUUGUGUGACGGGUGUUGCUGUGCGCUCUGUAUGCGGGUUAGCUGAUUUCAUUCUCUCCACGCCUGCGGAGGAGGUGUGCAUUUGCUCAGUCUGAACUUCAGGCUGCGCAUGGACCCAGUGACAGACUCCGAUCGGAGCGGAGGCUUGCUGGGCAGGCUGCCCUGCAUCAGGGAGCACCGCAGAGCUCUGCUGCUAGUCCUUCCACGAUCUUGUGGGACAGGCGAGACUGUUUAUCCCAGGCUUAGUGUCCAACAAACUCUCAGUGUAAGGCGGUUCUGAGCAACACAGCCGCCUCCCAGGGCGCCCCUAGAGGUACGUCUUCAGGUAGCUUGGAUUGUGUUAAAUUUCUUCUCAGCAGUCCGGCCUGCUGUCUAGGAAUGGGCCCAACAGGAGGUAGUCUAGUGAGUUCCCGGUAAGUGCUACGGGAGAGACGAUGUCGAUGUGGGGUGCGGCAGGUUUCCUUCUUCAAAGAGAGCCGCAGCCACACUCCCUUCCCACCGUUCUGUCUUUCCAGUAGGUCUGACCUGGCUCCCAUUGAGGGGGGAGGACACGCACGUGGGUCACCUUGGGUUCCCCCUCUACAUCCCAGAGAGGCUGCUGUGUGGCCUCCGGGCUCUGUUGUGCAGCUGCUUCUCUGGCUAGGGCCGCCUGUCUUCGGAAUCCAACCUCCGCUCUGGGAGGAAGCCCCUUAGCCACAUGUGGUUGUGCAAGACUUGUCCCUCAACCGGUAACUGGUUAACCCACUGAACCUGAGAGGACCCCAGCCCCACCACCACACCCUUUAAUUAAACACCUAGCUGUCGGAUGGGCUUGGUGGCCCACACCUAUAAGCCCAGUACUUCGGAGGCAGAGGCAGAGGAGGCCAGCAGAGGCUACAAAGUGAGCUCAAGGCCAACCUGAGCAGCAUAGUGAGACCCUGUCUCAAAAAGACAAAACAAAAAAGCCCAACCCAGCUGUCACAGAGCAGUCACUUAAUAAAAUCAUUAUCAGUUUGUACCACUGCCUUUGUGUGUGUGCUUAGUUAAGUGAAACAGUGGAUAGCAGAAGUUCUGAGACUGAUCAGCUGGGUUCUGUUGGAAAGACUGGAGAGAGAGAGGCUAUCCAGAAGGAAAAAGCCCAGAGACGGAGACCAAGGUCUCAGCCCAUCACAGCGUCCUGUCUGGAAACCGGAUUCUGGGGUGCUGCUGUCCUCCAGCUCUGCACUUCCCCUGGACAUGGGUGGAUGGAAGGACCGCAGUCCCGACCCUGGUCCUAGUUGCAAGGACCUAAGGAUCCACACUCCACCUUCUCUCUCAGGACGCUGGCUUCAGGAUGGAGGCGAUUCCCCCAACAUGGGAAAGGAGGGCUCAAGACAUGCUGGCGAGUGAGAAAAGCUGGCCUUGGGCACUGGCAAGGAAACACACCCACAUCCCCGAUCCCCAUAGAGUGCUCAGCAAGGAGGGGACAUCUGGAGAAAGAAAAUUGCAAUUAGGACUGAAGAGGAAGAAAAGGGUCGUGAGGAUAAGAGUUCCAGUUUGGCCUUCCACCAUGUUAGACCAUUGCCAUAAUGUAAUCUAUACUAGAGCAAGAACUUUCACCUGCCAGACUCCACCUCCGAACAAGAAGUCAGCUGUGGCAUUCCCGCUGUCCAGGCCUCUUCCCAAAUCCCUAUCUUUGAGUACUUGAUGCUUUUGGAGGACAACUAGAUAUAAACUGUAACAAUGAUAUAAUUUAAUCACCCUAACAUAGACACUUCCGAAAACGAAAAAGGGAACUAUUGGAAACCACUCUGUAACCACAGGCCUAAGAGAAGCUGGUCCAGACAAACGUAAAGAUGGAUAUGCAACUUAGGAGCAAAAUUAAUUAGCAUUAGCUGUGUACAUAACAGACAUUUAUUGAAUGAGCAAUCAUUAACAUGAGGGAUUAUGUAAAUUUAACUGUAAAUCAAAAUACAGAUUAUGAUCUCCUUUCUUGUUGGGCCAGUUAGACAAAUCCAAACAGCAAAUUGUUGCCUUUACAGCUAAAGUGCCUGGUGUUCAUUUUGAAUUACAUUAAGCACCCAAUGACUGACAGAUGUUAAUCUUUUAUUUUUUGAUAUUAUUUAAUUUUAUUUCUUUGGGGACAGAGAGAGUGGAACUGAAGGUGAUUCUGAUCUUUUAAAUACCUGGCAAGUCCUUCCUGGAGGACUGUGGCUGGGCCUCUCCCCACGGAAUACAGUGAGCAAGGAACCUUCUUGGAAUCAAGAAACACAACAUGCACAUGGCCCAGUUCCGAUAUACACAUGUGGUGUUAUAGCACUGCUCUGUAACACAGAUUCUAACCAAUCAGGCUGUAGUAGGUGAGUGUGUUAUUAUUUAUGAGAGAAAAAGACACCAAACUGAAUAAAAGAUAAAACCCCGCUAGGUUUUGGGCUCAGCCUUUUGGAAUGUUAACCCACUGAGCCCUGCAUGCGAAUCCUGCUACAGUCCCAUUAAUGGAAGGAGGAGAACAGAAUGCCAAGCUUGAGGAUCCCAUAGCACUUUCAUUCAAGGAAUAGGACAAGCAGAGAGUGGGAUGCAAAAGUCUGGAGCUCAGGCAAGCUGGGCCUUAGCCUAGACCUGGUGAUAAAGUGCUGGCUGUUAGGAACAUUUCCUAUGCAUGCGCACAGUACAGGUGGUGAGGCAGAGAUUGGGUCCUGGCUCCUUGUCAGCCAAACUAUGUGAGCUGCUGAGCUCAUCACCGCUCAGUCUUCUCCCCACCCACCGAGAUUUGGAAAUGGCCCCCGUGGAGCUGCAAAGCCAUGGGAUGGAGGAGACCAUCUAAAAAGAGAGGAGGGAAGGAGAGAUUCUCAGCCAUUCCACAGCACUGCGGGAGUGCAGACUCUGAUGGCCCUGACACCUGUAAAAUGCAAAUCUGUGGUUUCAUGCUGCCCAGCACUGCAGGGCAAUAAUCCUCCCUCCCUGCUUUGCUCUGCUGCCUGGAGCAGUCUGAUGACUCACCGCCUGAAGCUUCCUGAGACACACCCAGCACUGUUACCCAGCCUGUUGCCAGCUGUGUGGGCCUCAGGCACCAUAGAACUUCUCUCUCCCAAACCUCAGAGGCGCUCCUGACAUAAAGUUGAA